rnacentral:lncRNA from 1 species
UUUAAAGAUUUUAUUUACUUAUUCAUGAUAGUCACACAGAGAGAGAGAGGCAGAGACACAGGCAGAGGGAGAAGCAGGCUCCAUGCACCGGGAGCCCGACGUGGGACUCGGUCCCGGGUCUCCAGGAUCACGCCCUGGGCCAAAGGCAGGCGCCAAACCGCUGCGCCACCCAGGGAUCCCUACAAUUCAGUUUUAUGUAUGGAUCAUGUUUUGUUUACCCACCCACCUGUUGGUGGACACCUGGCUUGUUUCUACCUUUCAAAUGUUCCUGAUCUUCCUCAUGUCAACGAGAUCAACCUUUUCUUUGUCGUAUUUGUCUUUGAGAGACAAUGAGUCUCUCCUAGUGGACUUCCUGUUGCUCCCCUAAGUUACCAGGCCCCUGAGCAGCUGUCCUGCUGAAGACGGAGAUGAGAUCAGAUGAGAUGCCCUAGGGUCUGGAAUGUAUGACCAAUCCAAUCUAACCUGAGGGUGUGUCCACUGAUCUACCGAGCUGUGCAAAGCCCUCAACCCACUUUUUCAACAUCCUGACAUAAAUUCUGUACUCAUUAAUCAAUAAGCUUUUUUCCUCUCUUUCUCUCUGGCCUCCUGAUAACCUCUGUUCCACAUUCUAUCUCCAUGGAUUUGCCUAUUCUAGGUACUUCAGGUAAGUGGAGUCAUAAAUAUUUGUCCUUUUAUGUUUGGCUAAUUUCACACAGAAUAAUGUUUUCCAACUCCACUCAUGCUGUAGCAUUUAUCAGAAUUCCACUUCUUUCUAUAGAAGAAUAGUAUUCCUCUGUUGUACAGACCACAUAUCUGUUCUUUAUACAUUUAUCCUUUGGUGGACACUUGGGUCUUUUCACCAUUUGGCUAUUUAUCACUUUCCUUUUUUAUUUUUAUUUUUUAAUAAUAAAUUUAUUUUUUAUUGGUGUUCAAUUUGCCAACAUACAGUGCUCAUCCCGUCAAGUGCCCCCCUCAGUUAUCACUUGCCUUUUGCAAACCGUGCAACGUAAUAUUUUGGAGUGCCCAUGGAAUUUUAGCACAAAGGCCUGGUAACUUUUCCCUCUUCACUACUAAGACACAAAACUGUUCCAUUAACAUAGGCAAAAAGGAAAAAGAGUAAACAAAUCUCUUAGAAACACAGGUCCAACCAGUAUCUGCUGAGUUAGAACAAUCUCUCUCUUCCAAUAAAUUCUGUAAGCAGGCUUGAUGUUAUUUUUAAAGAGAUCUUAGAACUCAGGCAAAACUGUAUAUACCACAUUUGGGCAUUAAUGGCAGGAUGCCUGUGAUGGUCAGAAAUGCACAUAACUACUGUCACUUGCAAGUUUCUUUCUACACCAACAUAUUCCAAAUAUUUAUGAUGCAAUCUUGAGAAACGUUUAUCUAGGUUUGGUUACUCAGCUGAAUACUUAUAUCACCUGGGAGGUUUCAAAAGUUUGGUGCCUGAGUUCAAUCCAAGUGAUUCUGACUCAAGGCUUUUGUGGUUUGGUCUGUGCCCUGGGAUCUUUAACAGCCUCCACACCAAGGAGAGCACAAUGUGUGGCCAAGGCUAAGAACACCUGAGUUGGAGUACCCCACAGAUGCACCUGUGAGGGGGGCAAGGAAGGAUGGUAUGUUUUCUCCUUUCUGGAAUAUCCAUGUGGAUUCUUUGAGGCUUGUUUCAGAGGACCAAGUGGUAAACUCUGUCCUGUUGGAGUAUCCAGGGAUGAAAAGAGAUCAUGGAAAAGAUGGGAUCAGAAAGCCCUCAGAUUAAAGGCUGAGGUUGACUUAACUAGCCUUUUCCAGGGACAGAGCUGGAUCCAUCUCUGAGCCAAACCUUACUCACAAGAGGACAUGGGUGACCUGGGGAGCUGUGAAAACAGAGCUGGCCUGGUGGGAUGAGAAUGGGGAAGUUAUGGUGAGGUUGCCUUUUUUCACAUCCUUAUAAAAGCUGAGCUGUGUUUACACGGGCCAUCUCGUCAGACGAUCAGGGAGCAUUCGCUGAGGUCCUACUAUCUGCCACGACCUGAGUGGAUGCUGGGGAUGCUGAGGUGAAGAACACAGACUCCCUGGCUUCCACCUCCUCACAGGUAGUGAUAUCCUGCAUCUUCCGUGGUAUUAGGUCCAUAAACUCCCACGAGUUCUCUUAGUUACAAACGAUAUCCAUCUUAAUUUGUUACUCAAAGCACGGAGCAGCCUUCGGCAUGGGGGUUCUUCUGGCCUCGAUGAGACCAUCAGCAGAACUUCUCGUCCACUCAGGAUCACAAACAGCUUCAGAGGUGGUCUAGAGUCACAUUCAAGCCUCGUGCUCCCCUA